AACUGAAUGCCACAUGGUGCCUAGAUCCUGAUCCUUCUGCAGCAAAAACGUUUUUCUGUUCUCUGGAUCGUUCCUGGAUACUGUAGUUCUAGAAAUGAAGACAUGGAGAGGGCUGGCUGCAGUCAAAUUAAAAAAAAAAAGCAACCUGAAGGGGGUAGAAAUGAUCAAAGCAAAGAAAAAAGAAUGAAAUAUCCUAAUCUGAAGAUGAUUUCGUUUUCCAAAAGCUCCUAGCAAAUUGAGAAGGCAGCUGAAGGAAAGGCUUGUUUGGGAAGGUAUGCAUCAAAUAAAAGCAACGGCCAUGGAAACAGAAGGUCUGUCUUCUAAAAUGGAUUCCUGGAAGUGAAACUCACUGGCUAUAGCCAGCCCAGACUGAACUCCUUUCUUCAUCCUUGAAUGAAUCACUAUGGUCCCAGGGAUGUGAUGCUGUGCUUGGUCAGACUUGAGUCACCUGUCCACUUCUGGAUCUGUGGAGAUGAUGGACAUCACCCUCCUGAGAUUAUGGAAAGAGCAGUACACGGAAAAUCAGGAUGCAAAAGGGGAAUGAAUGGAAGUCAGGCAGGAAAUGUGUCUCUUUCUGAGAAGAUGGAUGCUCCCCCCAGAAAUAAAGCAUGUGGAAGGUAAAUCAGUGUUUUUGGAUGGAUGCCUUGUUGGAAGAAGACAAGAGGGUGGUCAUGCCAUUCUUACCUGACUUUCCCUUCUUCCACUUGAUAGUCCGCCUUCAGAAGCAGGUGGAGUCCAAUUCUCAGUCAAUGGAAGGGCCCUUACAGAGCUCCACCCGUAUUAGCAGAACAUGGACUGCCUGAUGCCUUGUAAAGAUAAGCUUCCUGCUGCCGCUUUGCAACGGUUUACAAGCUGCAACCCUUAUGAAAUAUACUUCCACAAGCAAGGUCUUGUUCGAGGUGUCCACAUGGCUGCACUCCUUCUGGGGGCUCAAGAGGACAGACUCCUUGCAUCUUCCACCUACUGGGGACUCCUUGGCUGUGACUGCAUCACUCCGAUCUCUGCAUGCUCACAUCACCUGCUCCUAUUCUGCAUGUAAUCUCCCUCUGCCUCUGUUUCAUAAGGACACUGGUGAUUGCCUUUAGGAGCCACCUGAAUAAGCCACGAUACUCUCUUCAUCUCAAGAUCCUUAACUCAAUCACAUUGGCAGAGUCUUUUACCAAGUAAGGGGACAUUCGCAUGUUCCAGAGUCUAGGACCUGGAUAUCCUGGGAAGUCGUAAUCCAGACUACCACAGUCCUAUGGCCACACUUAGCCUUAUGCAGCAUCAGAAAUAAUAGUCUUUUGUGGAGUGCUAUAUUCCUAACACAAGUUAGCAUGUCUUAUUACUAAAGUUAGACUGGGAAUGGGUAUAGGGUUCCAAUCAGCCAUCCCUUCUUGAGAAAUUUCUUCAAAUUAAUGUGGUUUGAACCUUAGAGUAAAAAACUUCACAUCAUCAGCUCUAAAUUAUAUAAUUUUUGGAGUAUUUGAAAUCCAAGACAAGUUGGACUGGAAGGAUAUUGUUUUUGCGUGACCACUGUUAUGAUGCCUCUCCUGCUUUUUCCGGUGAUAGCACCCUAAUUUCUAAUUUUCCUUUGAGUAAGUGCCUCCUGCCGGAUUUCAGUCCAUGUGCUGUGGGAUGCAUGUACCCUCGAUCUGGACAAUUUGCAUUUUUUGUUGGUUCAAAUCUGGGUGUGAAAUCCACAGGGAUUCUCCAAAGACCAUAGGACUUACAGAAACAAUGGGGAAAGUGGAGGUCUCUUCCCAGUGGGAUUGCUGAGCUGAUAGACGUAAGCUAGAACUGCCGAUAAUUCUCUUUGCACAGCGUGUGACGAGCCUGCCCAGGAGCGCAGUCAACCCGCGGGAAGAGGGAUGUGAGGGACGGGGAGAACCGUGUUCUUGGUGACGUCAUUUGAGUGCCUGUGUCUAGACACACCUGAACCAAAUAUACCCCUGGACCUUUUAUGGGAGUCAGUUAGUGAGUGGCUCCAUCCUAGCCCCGCUUUUACCUGUUCUUUUGCCACUUGGGUUGGGUUCUGUCCCUUGAAACCAAGAGGCCUGACUAAUGCAAAGUUGAAGAAAAUGCAUCAAGUUGUAGGCAAAGUCAAGGCUAAAAUUCAGAUGUCCUUCCUUUUGAGCUGCUCUAUUGUGGUGCCUUUCCUUCUUCUCACAUAAUGGCUGUUGACCAGUUUCUUUUGAUUCCACUACAAAGUGGAAGUCAUUCAGUCCCUUAGUCAAUCUUGAUUUAAAAAAAAAAAAUGGCUUGAGUUCUUCCGUGAUUUCUUCUCAUCUGGCCUACAAGCUUCAACAGCUUAUCAAAGGAACAUCACUGACAAAUAGAAUUUGUGACAACAUUGAAUACCCUGGUUUUGGUUGGGAAAUAAGGAAGGAAAAGAGGGUAAUUUCAAAAUGCCAAGAAGAAGUAAGGAAGAGAUUGAUGACCUUUUUUGUUGUUGUU